GACGAACGCUGGCGGCGUGCUUAACACAUGCAAGUCGAACGGAAAGGCCCCUUCGGGGGUACUCGAGUGGCGAACGGGUGAGUAACACGUGAGUAACCUGCCCUUGACUUCGGGAUAACUUCAGGAAACUGGGGCUAAUACCGGAUAGGAAUCCUUGCUGCAUGGUGGGGGUUGGAAAGCUUCGGCGGUUUUGGAUGGACUCGCGGCUUAUCAGCUUGUUGGUGGGGUAGUGGCUUACCAAGGCUUUGACGGGUAGCCGGCCUGAGAGGGCGACCGGCCACAGUGGGACUGAGAUACGGCCCAGACUCCUACGGGAGGAAGCAGUGGGGAAUAUUGCACAAUGGGCGGAAGCCUGAUGCAGCAACGCCGCGUGCGGGAUGACGGCCUUCGGGUUGUAAGCCGCUUUCAGCAGGGGCGAAGCUUGUGGUGACGGUACCUGCAGAAUAAGCACCGGCUAACUACGUG
rnacentral:rRNA from 1 species